rnacentral:tRNA from 7 species
GGGUCUGUAGCUCAGUUGGUAGAGCACACCCCUGAUAAGGGUGAGGGCGGUAGUUCAAGUCUGCCCAGACCCA